UCCUCUGUGGCGCAAUUGGCUAGCGCGUCGUGAGUCUUUACCCAGUUUGACCUAUCGUCAAUGUUUUCGUUUACUAAUAUUUGUUUGCCAGUGACUGUUAAUCAGGAGGUUGGAAGUUCAAGCCUUCCCGGGGGAG